rnacentral:rRNA from 1 species
UUAUGGCUCAGGAUGAACGCUGGCGGCGUGCCUAACACAUGCAAGUCGAACGAAGCACUUCUGGUUGGAGAUUCGUCGAAGACCGGAUUGACUUAGUGGCGGACGGGUGAGUAAUGUAUGAGCAACCUGCCUUUCAGAGGGGGACAACAGUUGGAAACGACUGCUAAUACCGCAUAAUGUAUUUGGGUGGCAUCACCUGGAUACCAAAGGAGCAAUCCGCUGAAAGAUGGGCUCAUAUCUGAUUAGUUAGUUGGCAGGGUAACGGCCUACCAAGACUGCGAUCAGUAGCCGGACUGAGAGGUUGAACGGCCACAUUGGGACUGAGAUACGGCCCAGACUCCUACGGGAGGCAGCAGUGGGGAAUAUUGGGCAAUGGGCGAAAGCCUCGGCCCAGCAACGCCGCGUGAAGGAAGAAGGUCUUCGGAUUGUAAACUUCUUUUAUGAGGGACGAAGGACGUGACGGUACCUCAUGAAUAAGCCACGGCUAACUACGUGCCAGCCGCUGC